rnacentral:misc_RNA from 1 species
AGCCACUCUUCACUUGCUUCAGGUGUGAUCUGAUGAUAAGAAACUAUUUGGGAGCCUUUAAGCAAGUGGUGAUUUUAUAUAUUGUUCGGUAACAUGUACAUAAGGCUCUUCUACUUGCUUCUGGGAAUAUGAUCUUUCAGUCUUCCCACACAUGUACAUAACGUAUCUAUUCUGCCAGAUACUAGUUAGCAAAUGAGAUAAAUUACUGUAGAACUUUGCUGUAUAAUAUGAACCUGGAUCAGCUAUGUAUUCUGGGUGUGUAUAUAUCUGGAAAUUUUGAAAUUUUCUUGCACUCUGUUAUAGGUCGGAAAACCAUUCCCCUCUUUUUAGUUGGUUGAUGACUUCAGGAAGGUGCAAGAUGAUAAUACUCGUUGAGAAUGCUCGGGGUUACCUUACAUCUUUUCAUGUGUAGCAG